rnacentral:rRNA from 1 species
GAGACAGCAGUAGCCACGGGAAUACGGAGGGAGCUAGCGUUGUUCGGAAUUACUGGGCGUAAAGCGCACGUAGGCGGCUUUGUAAGUCAGAGGUGAAAGCCUGGAGCUCAACUCCAGAACUGCCUUUGAGACUGCAUCGCUUGAAUCAGGAGAGGUGAGUGGAAUUCCGAGUGUAGAGGUGAAAUUCGUAGAUAUUCGGAAGAGCACCAGUGGCGAAGGCGGCUCACUGGACUGGUAUUGACGCUGAGGUGCGAAAGCGUGGGGAGCAAACAGGAUUAGAUACCCGGGUAGUCCCUGUCUCUUAUACC